rnacentral:rRNA from 1 species
AUGAAGGGUUUGAUCCUGGCUCAGAACGAACGUUGGCGGCGUGGAUUAGGCAUGCAAGUCGAACGAAGCUGCGCUCCCUCACCGUGCUCUCUAAGAGGAGAUUAGAGGGCGAGGUGAGGGGGCGUAGACUGAGUGGCGAAAGGGGCAGUAAUGCGUGGGUAACCUACCCUCCGGACCGGAAUAGCCGCGGGAAACUGCGGGUAAUGCCGGGCGAUAUAGCGAAGCCGCAUGGUUUUGCUAUCAGAAGGUCCGCCGCCGGAGGAGGGGCUCACGUGGUAUUAGCUAGUUGGUGGGGUAACGGCCCACCAAGGCGAAGAUGCCUAGCUGGUGUGAGAGCAUGACCAGCGCCACUGGCACUGAGACACUGGCCAGACUCCUACGGGAGGCUGCAGUCGAGAAUCUUCCGCAAUGGGCGCAAGCCUGACGGAGCGACGCCGCGUGGACGAUGAAGGCCUUCGGGUUGUAAAGUCCUGUCGAGGGGGAGGAAAGCCGAAAGGUUUGACCUAUCCCUGGAGGAAGCACGGGCUAAGUUCGUGCCAGCAGCCGCGGUAAGACGAACCGUGCGAACGUUGUUCGGAUUCACUGGGCUUAAAGGGCGCGUAGGCGGCUUGCCAAGUCAGGGGUGAAAGCUCACGGCUCAACCGUGAAAGUGCCUUUGAUACUGGCGAGCUAGAGGGAGGUAGGGGCACGUGGAACUUCCAGUGGAGCGGUGAAAUGCGUUGAUAUUGGAAGGAACGCCGGUGGCGAAAGCGACGUGCUGGCCCUCUUCUGACGCUGAGGCGCGAAAGCUAGGGGAGCGAACGGGAUUAGAUACCCCGGUAGUCCUAGCCCUAAACGAUGGGUACUAGGUAGUGGACUAAACAUGGGUUCACUGCCGAAGCAAAAGUGUUAAGUACCCCGCCUGGGGAGUAUGGUCGCAAGGCUGAAACUCAAAGGAAUUGACGGGGGCUCACACAAGCGGUGGAGCAUGUGGCUUAAUUCGAGGCUACGCGAAGAACCUUAUCCUGGACUUGACAUGUGCGAAAGCGCAGGAAGUAGCUGCCCGAAAGGGUUCGCGAACGGUAUCCAGUCCGGAACCUAGCACAGGUGCUGCAUGGCUGUCGUCAGCUCGUGUCGUGAGAUGUUGGGUUAAGUCCCGUAACGAGCGAAACCCUUGUCCCUAGUUGCCAGCGGGUCAUGCCGGGGACUCUAGGGAGACUGCCGGUGUUAAACCGGAGGAAGGUGGGGAUGACGUCAAGUCCUCAUGGCCUUUAUGUCCAGGGCUGCACACGUGCUACAAUGGCGUGAACAAAGGGACGCAAACUCGCGAGAGGGAGCAAAUCCCAAAAAACACGCCCCAGUUCAGAUCGCAGGCUGCAACUCGCCUGCGUGAAGGUGGAAUCGCUAGUAAUCGCAGGUCAGCAACACUGCGGUGAAUGUGUUCCUGAGCCUUGUACACACCGCCCGUCAAGCCACGAAAGGGGGGGACGCCCGAAGACGCUGUGCCAACCUUCGGGAAGCAGGCUGCCGAAGGCGGACUCCGUGAUUGGGACUAAGUCGUAACAAGGUAACCGUAGGGGAACCUGCGGUUGGAUCACCUCCUUU